UGGGGGACCUUCGGGCCUCACACCACCGGAUGUGCCCAGAUGGGAUUAGCUUGCUGGUGAGGUAAGAGCUCACCAGGGCGACGAUCCCUAGCUGGUCUGAGAGGAUGACCAGCCACACUGGAACUGAGACACGGUCCAGACUCCUACGGGAGGCAGCAGUGGGGAAUAUUGCACAAUGGGCGCAAGCCUGAUGCAGCCAUGCCGCGUGUAUGAAGAAGGCCUUCGGGUUGUAAAGUACUUUCAGCGGGGAGGAAGGUGUUGAAGUUAAUAGCUUCAUCAAUUGACGUUACCCGCAGAAGAAGCACCGGCUAACUCCGUGCCAGCAGCCGCGGUAAUACGGAGGGUGCGAGCGUUAAUCGGAAUUACUGGGCGUAAAGCGCACGCAGGCGGUCUGUUAAGUCAGAUGUGAAAUCCCCGGGCUUAACCCGGGAACUGCAUUUGAAACUGGCAGGCUGGAGUCUCGUAGAGGGGGGUAGAAUUCCAGGUGUAGCGGUGAAAUGCGUAGAGAUCUGGAGGAAUACCGGUGGCGAAGGCGGCCCCCUGGACGAAGACUGACGCUCAGGUGCGAAAGCGUGGGGAGCAAACAGGAUUAGAUACCCUGGUAGUCCACGCUGUAAACGAUGUCGAUUUGGAGGUUGUGCCCUUGAGGUGUGGCUUCCGAAGCUAACGCGUUAAAUCGACCGCCUGGGGAGUACGGCCGCAAGGUUAAAACUCAAAUGAAUUGACGGGGGCCCGCACAAGCGGUGGAGCAUGUGGUUUAAUUCGAUGCAACGCGAAGAACCUUACCUGGCCUUGACAUCCACGGAAGACUGCAGAGAUGCGGUUGUGCCUUCGGGAACCGUGAGACAGGUGCUGCAUGGCUGUCGUCAGCUCGUGUUGUGAAAUGUUGGGUUAAGUCCCGCAACGAGCGCAACCCUUAUCCUUUGUUGCCAGCACUUCGGGUGGGAACUCAAAGGAGACUGCCGGUGAUAAACCGGAGGAAGGUGAGGAUGACGUCAAGUCAUCAUGGCCCUUACGGCCAGGGCUACACACGUGCUACAAUGGCGCAUACAAAGAGAAGCGAGCCUGCGAGGGGAAGCGGACCUCAUAAAGUGCGUCGUAGUCCGGAUCGGAGUCUGCAACCCGACUCCGUGAAGUCGGAAUCGCUAGUAAUCGUGGAUCAGAAUGCCACGGUGAAUACGUUCCCGGGCCUUGUACACACCGCCCGUCACACCAUGGGAGUGGGUUGCAAAA
rnacentral:rRNA from 1 species